AGCUUUUGAGCAGGAAUGAAAGGAAGGCACACUUGGAAGAGGGCCAGGCAAGUGGCUUGAGUGGCCACCUGCCCUGUUUGAUCUUUUGACUUGGGGUUUAUAUGUUGGCAUACUUCUGGGGUCUUGUGUGUUCCUUCUCCCGAUUCUUUCCUCGGGGUGGCCUGCCAGGGCUUGGGAAGGGAACAUGUGUAGUGUGUUGACUGGAGUUGUACGCAUGCUCACCUGAGGCAUCCUCCCUUCCUAGGCUAGCAUUCCUAGAGGAAGGUCCUACACCAGUUAAACUCUGCCAUUUUGCCUCUUAAUGCGCAUGCUGGAGCCCUUGCCCAACUCCUGAGAUCUUAUCGGGAAGCUGCUCAUCACCAGUUUCAAGUGUUUUCUAUUUACUGGGAGCCUGCCUUUCCCUGGCACUGGCUGUGACCAAUUACUAUUUGAGAGAGUUAACAACCGCCUGACCAUCACCUGAUGGUUGCCUGACACUCCUGGUAUGUGUGUCAGGGAGCCCUCUCCUGCUAGGCUCAUGCCUGACUAGCUACCUACUGUAACAGGAGCUGUUCACUUUGAGAACUAACAACCUGCAAAACCUGCUGCUUUCAAUGCUUAGGCUUCGUGGCUGAGUUGUUAGACAUUUAAAGCUGCAAAGAGCUUUCCUCUCUCAUCCCCACUGUCCUCUGUGUUUGCUGUCCUUUUCUGAUUAUUGAAGAAGCAUAUGGGUUUGAUUUUUCCCCAAAGAAAAGACCAAGGGUUACCAACCCACUUCCUAACUAGCAACAGGGCCACUGGGCAGCCCCGAACAGGAUGAAUUGUACCUAAAGACCUGAAGUAGGUGAGCCUUCAAACUUUAGCCAACCCAAGUGUCAGGCUCCUCCCAACCACAGGAUGAAAGGUUAGCUGAGUAGGAGACGUGGUCUGCUGUCCAUAGACACCUUUGGGCUUGGUGCCUUCCAGAGAUUUUCAGAUCAAUGCCAUUGGACUGCUGUGUUUUUCAUUCUCUUAAGUGCCUGCCCUGCCUCCAGGAGAGUUCCACCCUGCAAACACAAUCCCAGAAGGCUCCCUGUCUCCCACUAUAAAGCAAUUCUUAUGUGCAUGAGGGAGAGAAUGUACAAGAGGACUCGUGUUGGAUAAAAGAUGAUGGAUUCCGGCAAAAAGUCAUGCUUUAAGUAAUGAUAAGAGAGAAACUAUGAGGGCAACAUAUUGUGAGCCUGGUUCUAAACCAUGGUAACUCUGCACCAUUUCCACACUAAGAAGAUUUUAUUGACUUCUGGGAUUGAGACUGGAUCAUGUGUUCCUCCAAGAAUGAAUUAAAAUGAGGCAACUAUAAUCCCCGGGGGAGGAUUGGGGGGUGUCCUGCCCGUUCCCUUAGGUGCUAGAUGACCACUUCAGUUAGCAUCUGGCUUUGUGAUUCUGUCCCAGUAGGAACCUCACUGCAACAGCAUUUGCUGGAGAAUUUGGAACAAGAAGACCUCAUUGGACUUUAUCCAAGGGGAUUUAGUCACCGAAGAUCUAACACUCCUCAUGAUAAGGCUGUGGCACAGUUCCAGAACCUGGCUCCAAGGGAGAAGUCAUACAAGAUACCAUGUGUCUGCAAGGGAGCACUCUUCUGGACAGACACAAACAGGAAGAGAGGGCAGGUGGCUCUCCUCACAGUGAGAGCACGCUUGUGAGGUAUGGAGACAAUGCCAGCUACAAUUGCAUCAGGCAGGCUCCUUGUGGGUCUCCCCUGUGGCUCUGAUGCCUGGCAGGGAAGGGACCCUGGAGGGGGACUGCUGCUCAGGUAUCCAGACACCUGGCUGAGGGAGAGAGGGUAGGGACCCACAGACCCUCUAGGACCACGACAGCCCAGCCACCCCGGGCGGGAUGCGCAGCGGGCUGUCAGGGCAUGCUCCUUGGAGCUUGGUCUGGCUUCUCUUUGCUGUUCUUGGAAGCUGUGUCUUUGGAAAACAGAAGCUGGAGUUCCCCCAGCCCUUCAGGUGGCUGGUGUUUGCCUUCUCUCUCUGCCCUACCAGCCGCACCUCUCUGGAACACUCUGAUGUGCAUUUCUGGAAUGCCCCAGUCACUAAUCUUACAAUCAGUUUAAUAAAAAGGAGAAAAACAAAUCA